AAAGCUGUAGGAGCCACAAAGUUUGUUGAUGUACCAUGGCAUCCAAACAUAUAAACAAAACAAAACAAAAGCAAUUGAUUGAUAUUAUAUGGACUUGCGGUCCUUUGAUCAAAUUGUUAAAUCAGUCUGUUUUGUUCUUUCAAUGCUUUUUGAUCGCUUGACAUUGACAUAGUACCGAAUUCACUUUGCAUCAUCGUAGAGACACUUAUGAUAUGACCCAAGAAGGGGCAUAACUUUUUGGGAAACAACAAAACAUGCACCAGGGCUUCAUAAAGCUCCCAACACCACGAAGAAGCUGAGACAUUUCCACGCACUUGCCACGAAGAAGAUGCUUGUUGUACGGUAGUGUUCUUAAAGGGCGUCUCCUUGAGAAGCAACCAAUUGGCAGAAGUGACAGUUUACUUAGUAUUUAUGAAUCAAUGGCUCUCACGUCCCUAGGAACACAAUCUCGUGAAUUUAAAAGACCAACUCCAACACCUUCAACAACAAUAAAAGCUACCUUCACAUGGGGAUAGAAGUGGCAAUGGACCACGCUGGUUCAGUCAAGCUCACUGGACCCAUGGAUCGGAUUGAACCUAAGACUUGCACAAUAAUGAGUCUUAUAGGUUAGGUCAACCCAUAUGAAGUAUAAGAUACAUAGCCCAAUCCGAUAUAUGUAAGAUUAGGUCUUUCCAAAAAUUUGUUUAAAUUAUGUUUUUAAAUCAUUAUCUAAUU